CGGCCGGGAGUGGGCAGCGCCCCGCCCCGGGCGGGGGACCCAGGUUCCUCAGUCCUUGCAGCAGCCGCCGUGCUCAUCCCUUCUGCACCCGUGCCGGCCCUGGGAAGAAGCAGUUAUGAGCAGAGUUGGGGUAUACAGAGCAGGGGCUGCACCUGGAAUGUGCAUUUGCAAAAGCUCGGCAGGGCUGAGAUCUCGCCAAGCUGGGGAAAUGUUGGCUGCAGGGCAUCAGCUGGUCCAAGCAAACUGGAAAGUCGCCUGGGAGGCUGCACAUCAGGGCCUGCUGUGUACAGGGGCCUGCGUGGGUCCUGGAGCCACAACCAGGAACAACUGGGAGCCUUACUUCUGCUCUUGAGAGAGUCCUGGAGGAGUGGGAGACGGACACACAGGAGGUGACAAUGCAGCGGGGUAAACAGGCCCCCGGAGAUCGGGACUGAUCCAGCCAGAAUGGCCCCUGGAGAGAUUGUUAUACCCUAAGCUGAGCUUUGGGGAAUCUGUGACUGUCCCCAACUGUGCUCCCAAAGGGACACGUCAGAGGCACAUAUGGCUAGACAGGUUUGGGGGCCCUGCAGUCACCCACCCUCUGCCUGGGCUUUGCCUUGUUCUCUGGCCAUGAUGCCCACACACUGCAGGGCUCUCUGCACAUAAGCCUGCUGCCACUGCUCUGGGACGUCAGGCCUUUAAUUCGAUCCAGCUAAUGGCGUCAGAGCAUCCAGGACGCCUGGAGUGCUGCAGGGGGUCUGGCUGGGCUGACUGGCUCUGUUGUCUGGAGCCCUGGAAGUGGGGGCACCCCCUGUGGCGACCUUUAUCCUCCCCCUCACUCAGCGUGACCUUCUUCGGAGGGCCAGGAAAACACUUUGGUCACCAGGCAACUGCUUCUCUUCUCCCAGAGGAGCUGAUUAAAAACAGCGGCGGUGAGAACAACCGGUACCUAUGAGGCCACGCCGGGCAGCCGAGCCCAGGGAUGGCGAAGGCCGUCCUCGUUCACGUAAGUGAAGCAGACCGUUGAACCACUCGUGGGCAAGUGGCUUUGCUCCCCGGGCCUCGGCUUCCUGUCUGUAGAGUGGGAUGAUAACGGUGCCAUCUUACGAUGCUUGCGUGGAGUCAUACGUGUGAAGACUGCCUGACACAGGAAGUGGCAUCCGGCAGGGUGCAGGUGAACAGGCUCUGAGGAAGCAGAGGGGAACCUCGCCUUUACAACCUUGUCGAUUGCCCUCAUGUAUAAAUACUCCCACCACAGUCGAUUUCAAGCUACCAGUAACUGAACAAUGGGCUUGCAAAACUCUCGAAUGUUUAAUCAUUUGUUCUCACAGGCUGGUCUGAGAUAACUCGGUACACCACUACACAGUCGGCUGUUAUGAUUCAUAUGUUCAUCUGUCCAUUCAUUCAUUCAUUCAUCCACCCAUUCACUCAUUCACUACUGAGUGCUGGGGAUUCCGAUACUAGAGCGAGGUCAUUGGUCUCUGACCUCCCAGUCUGGAAGGAAAGAGAUAGGAACAGACCUAGAUCACUAGCAGGUAUCCAACACAUGCCCAUUCUAUUGAUGGGAAAAUCAAGGUGUCCAGGAUGGGUGGUAAACCAGAAUCAGAGCACAUAUAUGAAACUGUGUAAAUGGCAGUCCCCAUAAUUCACCUGUACUGCCCUCCUGUCCCUCCUAUCACUUAGCUUGGGGGAUCUCCCAAGGCUUGGCAAUGUUCUGGGAGCAACAAAACACUUUUCUUAACUUGGGGACCACUGACCCUAAGAAAGCUACGGGGAUUUCAAGAGCCAUCUUGCUUAGCCUUUGACUUAGAGAACACCACACCUAAGUCACUUCAAACAAGGAAGUGGUGCUCUCAUAAAAUACGUCCAGGGAAGGAAACCCUAGAAAUGGCUACACCAGCAUCUCGACUCUGAAACAAUUUUCCUCUUACCCUCAUUUAAGUUCCUUACACUGGUCUCAUAUGUCUGGGCCUCUUUGUGAAUGGAAUGAGAGAAGAAUCAACCCCAAUUUGCAUUUUGAAUUAAAGUUGGCCUUUUGGUUAUCUGUUAAACAAUCCCUUCUCACCCAAGGCACCUUAAUCUUUGAAGCUAACCUUGGGUGACAGUGCCCUGUAGGAGAUGGAUUCAGAUCUGAGUUGCAUCCAGGCCCUGCCACUCCCCAGGUAGAGUGUGGCCUUGGGUUGGUUCCUUUGCAGUGCUGAACCUUGAU